GUCAAAAACUGUAGGGCCUCCAACAUAACUGAAACACCUAAUUAUAAAAAUAAAAAGAUAAUUGUAAUGAUGGUACCUAUUGUAACAUAUUAACCCACAAUUUUCUCUAGUCUAUCAACAAGAAAAAGUUAAGCUAAGAAUAAAAAUCCCAAGCUUGUCGUACACCUACUCAUAAGCAUAGUAAGGGCCACCAGUUAAUCAUAAGAGGGAAGAAGGAAAAGCUUGUACCUCAAUGUGAAGCUCUAGAGCAAGGAUGGAGGUCACCAUUUGUUAAGAGUUGGGUGAGGAGGCUUCUACCUAUUAAAAGUUCAAUGACAAUGUCUAAUACUUGGGGCCAACUGCAUAAUUCCAUGAACUUUCUGAUUGCAUGAGAUGAAGCAACACUUGCUCGUUCGUUUUGAGGUCAAUUUACAUGGAAACAGAUGGAUCCCAUCAACAAAAAAAAA
rnacentral:misc_RNA from 1 species